CGUAAACAAAGGGAAGCGACCAUGUGAAUGUGAGCAAAUCCCAAAAAUAACGUCUCAGUUCGGAUUGUAGUCUGCAACUCGACUACAUGAAGCUGGAAUCGCUAGUAAUCGCGAAUCAGAAUGUCGCGGUGAAUACGUUCCCGGGUCUUGUACACACCGCCCGUCACACCAUGGGAGUCAGUAACGCCCGAAGCCGGUGACCCAACCAAACGGAGGGAGCCGUCGAAGGUGGGACCGAUAACUGGGGUGAAGUCGUAACAAGGUAUC
rnacentral:rRNA from 1 species